UGUCUGUGAAUCUGUCUGUGUCGUAUGUCAGCUGCCUCUGAAGGAAAACAGCAGAAAAGGACAGUGCAGUGCCCACACACAGACAGCACAGGGCUGGGUGCCUCAGUGCAUCCCUCUUCAGCAGAGGCAGCUGAAUGAAGUCAGAGGGCUGCACACCUCCUAAAAGAUCUAGUAGGUACAGAAGAGCACAGUAUAAGGAAGAAAACUGUUUAUUAAAACUGCUGUGAAACAGGAAUUACAGGAUUAACUCAAGCAAGUACACUAGAAUUACAUCCACUGAUUUCCAUGGAACUUUCCUUUGAAGAACAUUAUUAAUCAUUAUGAGGAAGAGAAAAUAAAGA